GGCUUCGUAGCUCAGCUGGUAGAGCGCUUGCCGCGUAGAGGCAUAGUGUUUCUAUCGCUAGUUCGAAUCCAGCCGAAGCCC
rnacentral:tRNA from 1 species